CAGGCUUAACACAUGCAAGUCGAGGGGCAGCAUUUUAGUUUGCUUGCAAACUGAAGAUGGCGACCGGCGCACGGGUGAGUAACACGUAUCCAACCUGCCGAUAACUCCGGAAUAGCCUUUCGAAAGAAAGAUUAAUACCGGAUAGCAUACGAAUAUCGCAUGAUAUUUUUAUUAAAGAAUUUCGGUUAUCGAUGGGGAUGCGUUCCAUUAGUUUGUUGGCGGGGUAACGGCCCACCAAGACUACGAUGGAUAGGGGUUCUGAGAGGAAGGUCCCCCACAUUGGAACUGAGACACGGUCCAAACUCCUACGGGAGGCAGCAGUGAGGAAUAUUGGUCAAUGGGCGAGAGCCUGAACCAGCCAAGUAGCGUGAAGGAUGAAGGCUCUAUGGGUCGUAAACUUCUUUUAUAUGGGAAUAAAGUUUUCCACGUGUGGAAUUUUGUAUGUACCAUAUGAAUAAGGAUCGGCUAACUCCGUGCCAGCAGCCGCGGUAAUACGGAGGAUCCGAGCGUUAUCCGGAUUUAUUGGGUUUAAAGGGAGCGUAGGUGGAUUGUUAAGUCAGUUGUGAAAGUUUGCGGCUCAACCGUAAAAUUGCAGUUGAAACUGGCAGUCUUGAGUACAGUAGAGGUGGGCGGAAUUCGUGGUGUAGCGGUGAAAUGCUUAGAUAUCACGAAGAACUCCGAUUGCGAAGGCAGCUCACUAGACUGUCACUGACACUGAUGCUCGAAAGUGUGGGUAUCAAACAGGAUUAGAUACCCUGGUAGUCCACACAGUAAACGAUGAAUACUCGCUGUUUGCGAUAUACAGUAAGCGGCCAAGCGAAAGCAUUAAGUAUUCCACCUGGGGAGUACGCCGGCAACGGUGAAACUCAAAGGAAUUGACGGGGGCCCGCACAAGCGGAGGAACAUGUGGUUUAAUUCGAUGAUACGCGAGGAACCUUACCCGGGCUUAAAUUGCAACAGAAUAUAUUGGAAACAGUAUAGCCGUAAGGCUGUUGUGAAGGUGCUGCAUGGUUGUCGUCAGCUCGUGCCGUGAGGUGUCGGCUUAAGUGCCAUAACGAGCGCAACCCUUAUCUUUAGUUACUAACAGGUUAUGCUGAGGACUUUAGAGAGACUGCCGUCGUAAGAUGUGAGGAAGGUGGGGAUGACGUCAAAUCAGCACGGCCCUUACGUCCGGGGCUACACACGUGUUACAAUGGGGGGUACAGAAGGCGGCUACCUGGUGACAGGAUGCUAAUCCCAAAAACCUCUCUCAGUUCGGAUCGAAGUCUGCAACCCGACUUCGUGAAGCUGGAUUCGCUAGUAAUCGCGCAUCAGCCAUGGCGCGGUGAAUACGUUCCCGGGCCUUGUACACACCGCCCGUCAAGCCAUGAAAGCCGGGGGUACCUGAAGUACGUAACCGCAAGGAGCGUCCUAGGGUAAAACUGGUAAUUGGGG
rnacentral:rRNA from 1 species